GACAGAGGGUGCGAACGUUGUUCGGAAUUACUGGGCGUAAAGCGCAUGUAGGCGGCAGCGCAAGUCGGGCAUGAAAUCCCACGGCUCAACCGUGGAAGUGCACUCGAAACUGCGCAGCUAGAGUCCUGGAGAGGAAGGUGGAAUGCUUGGUGUAGAGGUGAAAUUCGUAGAUAUCAAGCGGAACACCGGUGGCGAAGGCGGCCUUCUGGACAGUGACUGACGCUGAGAUGCGAAAGCGUGGGGAGCAAACAGG
rnacentral:rRNA from 1 species